UCCUCCUGAAAGUUGGAUUACCGUGCACUUCUGGAUCACAGGCUAUUCGCAGCUGGACACAUCCUUCUACACUGUAUGCAAACAUGCAACAUCAUUACACACAGUACAAGGCAUAUGAGGAGCAAAGGAACCCAGGCAGUAGCAUCGUUUCACAAUGUUUCAAUCACCAUCAUCAGUGGAUGCCUUUGCCGUCCGUAGCCUGAGAUUUCAGAUUUGCAGCAAAAAAUGUGACUUUCCCAUUUAUUGGAAUGCUGUGCAGGUUGUACCUUGCAGCCAUCCAUUACAAUGUCACCAAGCCAUAACAAAAGCAGGAGAGGGAAAGUACAAGGCUAUGUUCCCAAAACACACAAGUGACAUACUGUAAGCAGUAAUGUUUUAUUUCAAAUACAUUCAUAAUUAAAAACUUAAUGUAUGAAGCAGGGAAAUAAAUUAUCAAAACAAAAAGA